CGUACCUAAAAGUGAAAUUUUUAAUAUUUUAAAAACUAAAAAAUAACUGAAAAAUUCAAAGUAUCUACUAUAUUCAAUUGUAAAAUUACUUCGUCUGGGGAAAGGGUAUCUAAUGAACAGCUGAAAUGAUUUUAUGGAAAAGGAGGUAGGUAUAGUUCAAUUUAACAAAGGUGCAAAGCAGGAGUAGACAUGUCAAGUCUGGAGAACCUAGUACCUGCAAUAGAAUAAUUAAAGACAGAAGGUACGCUUGAACACCCAAAUAGGAAAAGACAGCGAAUUAGACGGAAACAAUGUUUAGAUGUAGUCAUGGAUUCAGAUUACGUUUAAUCUUAAUUCUUGGAUGCGGUUAACAGAGAUUAGAGAAUAGAAACACAGUGAAUUGAAACCUAACAUUUCGGUCUACGGCGGAGAGCACACCCAAGGUAACCCAGAAAUCAACGAAAAAUAAAAUACUAAUUUUCAGUUUUUUUACUUUUCUUUUUCACUUUCAGAAAAGAUUCUAUAUCACACAAUCUUUUCCUGUUUAUGAUAAGAAUAAUAUAAUUACCUGCUUUAAGUGAGUUUAAUUCAAAAUAUAAAAUUUAUAUUUGCGACGUUUAUUGCAACGUGAGACUAAGUGCAUAAUUAUAUUUUCAUAAUUUUGUAGAUGACUAUUUAGCAUUCAAUAAUGGCCUUCCUCUUUCAAGAUAUGAUGCAUUUUUACUAUACGGUGAUGCAGAUAUAUUUACAACUAGUAACAACUGUAGUAGACAAAUUAGAAACUGAAUAUACACUCAAGGUAAUAUCAAUAUUUUUUUUAUACUAAUACUUGAUAAUAAAUUAUAGAAAAUAUUAAUAAUAUCUUGGUAUCAUAUUUUAAUUUUUAGCCUGGUCUAAUAAAAGAAUGUGAUCUAAAACCAGAUAUUUUGAAUAUAUAUAUAUAAACAGAUGUUUGAAUAUAUGUCAAUAAUGAAGUUAAUUUCUGAUCGUUGUAAUUGGUUGAUUAUCAUUCUAACAGAUGAUUUUUUAAAUAGCCCAUGGAAUAGAUUUAUUAUGAACUAUACACAGUCUUUAGCCAUC